AAGAUAUUACUCGUGAAAAAUCGGCAAAAGCCGUGGAAAACGCUCCUAGUGAGGUGAUUUGGGCGCGAAGAAUUGCUGGAUUGUAGGGAUUUGGGGGUUUGCCUAUGAAAUAAUAAAAGUGGUUCCGAUGAGUAAUUUGUUCUCAUUUUUCAUCGGUCCGGGUUGGCGCCAGCAUUUCUUCGCGCCAAAUUACCAAAGCUGGACCCGUGUUAUUUAAAUCUAUAUCUGGAACACCGGACUGAUAAGUUUUUCUGCCUUUUUUUACACAUAUAUAUUAUAUUUUAUUUUAUUGAUUUUUUUAUUUUAAUUAUUGGUCGAUAUAUUUUACGAGUUGAUCAAAAGAUAAACUCAUUUGGUCAAUUCUUAUACACCUGUUUUAUUGUGUCGUAUUAUUUAUUAUUGAUUUUUCUAACUUUGUCGUUCGUCUCUUUUUAUUUUUUUUUUAUAUAUAUUGUUAAUUGUUUUUUGUUGUUGUUAUAUAUCAACGUGUACUAAUUUUUUUGUAUUAAUCAUUUUUUUUAUUUUGUUAAUUUGCCGUUGAGUAAGGUAUGAAUGUCGCGACAAUUUGAAUUUGUAAUUUUUUAUUUAAUUUGAUAAUUUUAUUUUGUAUUUUUCAUAAUUUUAUUUUAAUAUAUUUCAUGUUCGACCUUACGUUCUGAUUCAUAUUUUAUUUAAUGUGUUUAAUAAUUUCCCUUUGAGACAAAUAUUUAUA